rnacentral:rRNA from 1 species
AGCAGUAGCCACGGUAAUACGUAGGGUGCAAGCGUUAAUCGGAAUUACUGGGCGUAAAGCGUGCGCAGGCGGCUUCUUAAGUCGGAUGUGAAAUCCCUGAGCUUAACUUAGGAAUUGCAUUCGAUACUGGGAAGCUAGAGUAUGGGAGAGGAUGGUAGAAUUCCAGGUGUAGCGGUGAAAUGCGUAGAGAUCUGGAGGAAUACCGAUGGCGAAGGCAGCCAUCUGGCCUAAUACUGACGCUGAGGUACGAAAGCAUGGGGAGCAAACAGGAUUAGAUACCCCCGUAGUCCCUGUCUCUUAUAC